UGAAACGUUGAGGAUGCUGCAUGCUUUAGUAUUUGAAUGACUUAAUGAAGGACCUUGACCAUCUCAUGCAGUAAAGUAUAAGAGGAUGUAGCGAGUGGUCUUGUGCUCUCUUCGAGUUACCUGGUUCUGAGCCAUGUCCGGGAGAGGGUAUUGGACCAGCAGGAUUGUGAGCUUUGCCACAUGUCAGGGGGAAGACAUCCCGAUGUCUGCCGUUGGGCCAGCUGUGUCAUACCUUUACACCAAGCGCCAUGUGUAACGGUCGUUCGCUUUACUUAACCCACGCAGCUUUCACAGUUCUGGAUGUAUACAUUUCUUCGAUGGAAAUUGGUUUGCUGGAUCCCCUUACUAAGGAUGUCGUAAACUGGGCCCAACAAAAUGAUCUUACUAAAGCCGGAUCCGAAUGGGUUCAAUUCUUCACUUCACUGGAUUCAUCCCGCCUCACUUCAGGCACGUAGCCUAGAUGUCUACGUCAGGAGCCCCUCACUCACGUAUUCCACGGAAAACAGGAGAGAGAGUUGAAUCUCCAUUUGGAGGAGCCUGUUCCUCUCCAUUAACUGUAACAAGAAACCCAGAACGAUUGGACACGUCACAAAUGAUCCUUGCCAAGUGCCCAAAGUUGGGCAGGAUGAAUCAAAGCCCGUGUACCAGGAUCAGCUUAGUGCUGCUAACAGGUACUGCGUCUGUCUGUCUGCCGCUCUCCACAUAACUAGGUUUCCAUUUUAUUGCAACUUUCAGUAUGAUUUUGAUUAGUAGAUUGAAAAAACUAAGCGUAGGGAAUGAAACGGAGAAUAAAGUCUUUGGGUUACCCCUUAAUAAAACUUUUGCAAUAUUAUGAUGUAUUGCAAAAUGAUUUGGAUAAUUCAAACUAUGUGCGUAGUCACUGCUAGCCCUGACAGCGAUCCAGCUGUCGUGACGCUUACUUAGAAAAGUAUAAAUACAAGAGGAAAAUUUAUCAUGUUAGGAUGUUCCUUAUGUUUUAGAAGUAUUUUUUUUUAGAUACUCAAAAAGUGACGCUCUUGAUGCAAGGGUCCUUCCUGUGUACUUAAUCACAGCUCUAAAUGGGAAGGUAUUUAACAUUUGAAAAAAUGUCUGUUAGACACAGCCCGAGACAAUUUGUUCUCCCUUAUCGAAUUUCCUAAGUUUUCUGUGAAGAUUAUUAGCAGAUGAAAUUCUGCAUGCUCGGGAAUAAUCCCGCUCUUAUCCUUGCAUACAGAGCUAUGUAUCUUUCUAUGUCAGAAAGAGGUAAGAAUGCAUAGCUUACAAAGCAAGAAGUAGACGACCUUUCUGUUAUAAUAAUUAAUGUCAACGAUCAUGGUUCUUAACACUGAAAUUGGGUCAAAAAUGUUGUAUCAUAUGCUGUUUACUGUUUUCAUAAAACACCAAUCUCUGUUCCUUUUGCCAGAUAAGAUUUCCAAGCUUUACUUUUUUAAAAGCGAUUUUAAUUUUUACCCCUAAGGUUUCUCUCUUGGUUGAAGACACUGGUAUGGGAUGAGCACAACAAAGAGGGAGCAGUUCGUUACGCUGCGAGGAGUUCUGGCUUAGGCCAAGGGCCGGGUUUGGCGCGCUUUCGCCGUGCUGUCCUCUAGCAGGGGAGAAGCUAAUUAAAGGGGAGGGGGUGAUGAAGAAUUGGAGCCAGAGGGAGAAAUCAAGGUUUAUCAGCGACGGUCCUUUUUACUCCAAAGGUACUGUUUUCUUCAACCCUGUAAAAAUGAAAUGUUUUUCACUUUUCAAAAUACAUGGUGGCUCUAGGAAGGAACGAAGCUGUUGGCCACCAGUGUCUCACAAGUUAAUACAGGUUGCUCAGAUGUAGAUUGGGGAAAAACAUAAGAGAGUAAAUAGAUUUUUCAUGUUGCUUUUGAAUAGUGCUUUUUCUUUUUCCCUUUAAUCUCCAGUCAGUAGGAAGCCCAGUUUCCAAUAAACAUAUUUACCCCAGUUUGGUGCGUGUUUGCAGGGUUAUGUGAGGGUGGAGCUGUUACUCUUUAUGGGCUGAAAAAGUAAGCGUAGGGAAAAGAAUGAACUAAUCAGAAAUCAUUCUAGAAAAAAAUGGAAUAACUGAAAUAAUUUUAGUUUUCCGGUACAGUCAAAAUAAAGUAUGCGCUACCCUUUCUAUCAGCUGA